AACGAACGCUGGCGGCAUGCCUAACACAUGCAAGUCGAACGAGACCUUCGGGUCUAGUGGCGCACGGGUGCGUAACGCGUGGGAACCUGCCCUUAGGUUCGGAAUAACUCCCCGAAAGGGGUGCUAAUACCGGAUAAUGUCUUCGGACCAAAGAUUUAUCGCCUUUGGAUGGGCCCGCGUUGGAUUAGCUAGUUGGUAGGGUAAAAGCCUACCAAGGCGACGAUCCAUAGCUGGUCUGAGAGGAUGAUCAGCCACACUGGGACUGAGACACGGCCCAGACUCCUACGGGAGGCAGCAGUGGGGAAUAUUGGACAAUGGGCGAAAGCCUGAUCCAGCAAUGCCGCGUGAGUGAUGAAGGCCUUAGGGUUGUAAAGCUCUUUUACCCGGGAUGAUAAUGACAGUACCGGGAGAAUAAGCUCAGGCGAACUCCGU
rnacentral:rRNA from 1 species